rnacentral:rRNA from 1 species
GACGAACGCUGGCGGCGUGCUUAACACAUGCAAGUCGAACGGAAAGGCCCUGCUUUUGUGGGGUGCUCGAGUGGCGAACGGGUGAGUAACACGUGAGUAACCUGCCCUUGACUUUGGGAUAACUUCAGGAAACUGGGGCUAAUACCGGAUAGGAGCUCCUGCUGCAUGGUGGGGGUUGGAAAGUUUCGGCGGUUGGGGAUGGACUCGCGGCUUAUCAGCUUGUUUGUGGGGUAGUGGCUUACCAAGGCUUUGACGGGUAGCCGGCCUGAGAGGGUGACCGGCCACAUUGGGACUGAGGUACGGCCCAGACUCCUACGGGAGGCAGCAGUGGGGAAUAUUGCACAAUGGGCGGAAGCCUGAUGCAGCAACGCCGCGUGCGGGAUGACGGCCUUCGGGUUGUAAACCGCCUUCGCCUGUGACGAAGCGUGAGUGACGGUAAUGGGUAAAGAAGCACCGGCUAACUACGUG